rnacentral:rRNA from 1 species
UGGGUAAUCUGCCCUCGGCACUGGGAUAGCCCGGGGAAACCCGGAUUAAUACCGGAUGGCCUCUCGAGCUCUUGGGCUCGUGAGAAAAGGUAGCUUCGGCCUCCGGCCGAGGAGGAGCCCGCGGCGGAUUAGCUUGUUGGUGAGGUAAAAGCUCACCAAGGCGACGAUCCGUAGCUGGUGUGAGAGCAUGACCAGCCACACUGGGACUGAGACACGGCCCAGACUCCGUACGGGAGCAG